UUAAGCGACUAAGCGUACACGGUGGAUGCCCUGGCAGUCAGAGGCGAUGAAGGACGUGCUAAUCUGCGAUAAGCGUCGGUAAGGUGAUAUGAACCGUUAUAACCGGCGAUUUCCGAAUGGGGAAACCCAGUGUGAUUCGUCACACUAUCAUUAACUGAAUCCAUAGGUUAAUGAGGCGAACCGGGGGAACUGAAACAUCUAAGUACCCCGAGGAAAAGAAAUCAACCGAGAUUCCCCCAGUAGCGGCGAGCGAACGGGGAGCAGCCCAGAGCCUGAAUCAGUGUGUGUGUUAGUGGAAGCGUCUGGAAAGGCGCGCGAUACAGGGUGACAGCCCCGUACACAAAAAUGCACAUGCUGUGAGCUCGAUGAGUAGGGCGGGACACGUGGUAUCCUGUCUGAAUAUGGGGGGACCAUCCUCCAAGGCUAAAUACUCCUGACUGACCGAUAGUGAACCAGUACCGUGAGGGAAAGGCGAAAAGAACCCCGGCGAGGGGAGUGAAAAAGAACCUGAAACCGUGUACGUACAAGCAGUGGGAGCACAGAGCAAUCUGUGUGACUGCGUACCUUUUUGUAUAAUGGGUCAGCGACUUAUAUUCUGUAGCAAGGUUAACCGAAUAGGGGAGCCGAAGGGAAACCGAGUCUUAACUGGGCGUUAAGUUGCAGGGUAUAGACCCGAAACCCGGUGAUCUAGCCAUGGGCAGGUUGAAGGUUGGGUAACACUAACUGGAGGACCGAACCGACUAAUGUUGAAAAAUUAGCGGAUGACUUGUGGCUGGGGGUGAAAGGCCAAUCAAACCGGGAGAUAGCUGGUUCUCCCCGAAAGCUAUUUAGGUAGCGCCUCGUGAAUUCAUCUCCGGGGGUAGAGCACUGUUUCGGCAAGGGGGUCAUCCCGACUUACCAACCCGAUGCAAACUGCGAAUACCGGAGAAUGUUAUCACGGGAGACACACGGCGGGUGCUAACGUCCGUCGUGAAGAGGGAAACAACCCAGACCGCCAGCUAAGGUCCCAAAGUCAUGGUUAAGUGGGAAACGAUGUGGAAGGCCCAGACAGCCAGGAUGUUGGCUUAGAAGCAGCCAUCAUUUAAAGAAAGCGUAAUAGCUCACUGGUCGAGUCGGCCUGCGCGGAAGAUGUAACGGGGCUAAACCAUGCACCGAAGCUGCGGCAGCGACGCUGAUGCGUUGUUGGGUAGGGGAGCGUUCUGUAAGCCUGCGAAGGUGUGCUGUGAGGCAUGCUGGAGGUAUCAGAAGUGCGAAUGCUGACAUAAGUAACGAUAAAGCGGGUGAAAAGCCCGCUCGCCGGAAGACCAAGGGUUCCUGUCCAACGUUAAUCGGGGCAGGGUGAGUCGACCCUAAGGCGAGGCCGAAAGGCGUAGUCGAUGGGAUACAGGUUAAUAUUCCUGUACUUGGUGUUACUGCGAAGGGGGACGGAGAAGGCUAUGUUGGCCGGGCGACGGUUGUCCCGGUUUAAGCGUGUAGGCUGGUUUUCCAGGCAAAUCCGGAAAAUCAAGGCUGAGGCGUGAUGACGAGGCACUACGGUGCUGAAGCAACAAAUGCCCUGCUUCCAGGAAAAGCCUCUAAGCAUCAGGUAACAUCAAAUCGUACCCCAAACCGACACAGGUGGUCAGGUAGAGAAUACCAAGGCGCUUGAGAGAACUCGGGUGAAGGAACUAGGCAAAAUGGUGCCGUAACUUCGGGAGAAGGCACGCUGAUAUGUAGGUGAAGUCCCUCGCGGAUGGAGCUGAAAUCAGUCGAAGAUACCAGCUGGCUGCAACUGUUUAUUAAAAACACAGCACUGUGCAAACACGAAAGUGGACGUAUACGGUGUGACGCCUGCCCGGUGCCGGAAGGUUAAUUGAUGGGGUCAGCGCAAGCGAAGCUCUUGAUCGAAGCCCCGGUAAACGGCGGCCGUAACUAUAACGGUCCUAAGGUAGCGAAAUUCCUUGUCGGGUAAGUUCCGACCUGCACGAAUGGCGUAAUGAUGGCCAGGCUGUCUCCACCCGAGACUCAGUGAAAUUGAACUCGCUGUGAAGAUGCAGUGUACCCGCGGCAAGACGGAAAGACCCCGUGAACCUUUACUAUAGCUUGACACUGAACAUUGAGCCUUGAUGUGUAGGAUAGGUGGGAGGCUUUGAAGUGUGGACGCCAGUCUGCAUGGAGCCGGCCUUGAAAUACCACCCUUUAAUGUUUGAUGUUCUAACGUUGACCCGUAAUCCGGGUUGCGGACAGUGUCUGGUGGGUAGUUUGACUGGGGCGGUCUCCUCCUAAAGAGUAACGGAGGAGCACGAAGGUUGGCUAAUCCUGGUCGGACAUCAGGAGGUUAGUGCAAUGGCAUAAGCCAGCUUGACUGCGAGCGUGACGGCGCGAGCAGGUGCGAAAGCAGGUCAUAGUGAUCCGGUGGUUCUGAAUGGAAGGGCCAUCGCUCAACGGAUAAAAGGUACUCCGGGGAUAACAGGCUGAUACCGCCCAAGAGUUCAUAUCGACGGCGGUGUUUGGCACCUCGAUGUCGGCUCAUCACAUCCUGGGGCUGAAGUAGGUCCCAAGGGUAUGGCUGUUCGCCAUUUAAAGUGGUACGCGAGCUGGGUUUAGAACGUCGUGAGACAGUUCGGUCCCUAUCUGCCGUGGGCGCUGGAGAACUGAGGGGGGCUGCUCCUAGUACGAGAGGACCGGAGUGGACGCAUCACUGGUGUUCGGGUUGUCAUGCCAAUGGCACUGCCCGGUAGCUAAAUGCGGAAGAGAUAAGUGCUGAAAGCAUCUAAGCACGAAACUUGCCCCGAGAUGAGUUCUCCCUGACUCCUUGAGAGUCCUGAAGGAACGUUGAAGACGACGACGUUGAUAGGCCGGGUGUGUAAGCGCAGCGAUGCGUUGAGCUAACCGGUACUAAUGAACCGUGAGGCUUAACCUU
rnacentral:rRNA from 1 species